rfam:Cryptococcus bestiolae CBS 10118 unplaced genomic scaffold supercont1.1, whole genome shotgun sequence.
AUCUACGGUCAUAGAAUCCAGAAAACGCCGCUUCCCGUUCGCUCAGCGCAGCUUAAGCUGGAUGUCGCUCAGUCAGUACCAACGUGGGGGACCAGUUGGGAAUCCCGAGUGCUGUAGUUU